UUUUUCUGUAUUUUUAUUUUUUAGAUGUUUGUUAGAUGCAUAGCAUAAAGUUUGAAUUUUGAUGGGUUUUGUCAAUCCAAUCUGAUAAUAUUUGUCUUGUCACUGGAACACCUAGACUAUUUACAUUUAAUGUAAUUACCAACACAUUUAGAUUUGUUUCUGCCAUUUAAAAGAAAGCCUUACUCAAUUUUGUAUAUAUUCGUUCACAUAUAAUUUGUCUUAAUAUCACAGUAGAUGUUAAAGGUUUUCAAACCUUGUUGUGUACAGCAUACUAAAAACAUUAUCAAACCAACCCACAGAAAUUAUCAUUCAGUGAGUCUUUUUAAAUAUGAAUUUACUUAUUUUGUUACUCCAUUUAUGCUAUUAACUAAUUAGCUCUCAACUCCAAACCUACUCUUCUAUGUUCACAGACUCUGUGGCUGGAAUUACAAACUAAUUUCUUCUUUGUCACAUGGCUUCCUUUUAGGUUCUAUAAAUAAGGGGUACUGUAAGGAUACUGGAAUGCUGGAAACAGAAGAAACUUUCCCCUUCCCAUUUGUCUCCCAUAUUGUCAGAAUCACCUUCACAAUGGCUCUCCUGCUAGCUUUGGUAGUCUCCCAAGUUUUAGCUUUUCUCUGUCAUUCUGCAGUAUGUCUCUUCUAAGCUUCUAGGGCCUAGUAAUCCCACCUUCUUUCUUUUAAUGAUCCUUUCCUUGUGGACAUUUUCAGUUCUCCAAAACCUGUUUACCAAUUCCUUACUGUUAAAUUAUUUCUUAAAUUAUAUGGGUUUUUUUUUCCUGAGCUAUAAGCAUUUUUCUCUUGACUUGUUUCUAUCUUUAAUGAUUAUUCUACAUACAGGCAAAUAAGGCCGAAGUUAAUCAUUAGUUACCUUUACCUUUUGGCAGAUUAUAUAUUCCAAAAAUGGCCACAGCAAUAUUGACAGUCUGCAUGUUCUAGAAGCUUGCUCUCUUCAGUCUCCUUCAACAUCUCCAAGAAUGAGCCAUACUGACAUUUCCUCUUUCCUAUCUUUCACUUUCUUGCAUAUUCUUUCUCUUGAAAAGCUUACCCAUAGAAUCCAAAGUAGCCCAUAUGGAGAAAAACGGAGCCUACCAAUCUGUAGCCAUCAUCAAGUAUCAGACAUGUGAGUAAGCAAGGCUUCAGUUGGUUCCAGGCACUAGACUUUUUGAAAUAAAAAGACAAGCCAUUCUUGCCUGUGCUAUGCCAUAUCAAAUACUCACCAAAUUCAUGCACUGGAUCAUUUAUGCACUAUUUAGGCUUUGGAAUUAUUUAUUUUACAGAUAUAAUAACUACAAAUCCCUCAAAUUCACAACUUAUGUACUACUAUCAUUUUAUUUCUGUUGAUGUUUUAAUUCAGUUGUCAUGUACUUCUAUGCCUUUAAUUCUGUAAGAUUCUGUAAGACUGUUUAGUCAGUAUUUAUAUGUUUACAAACAUACAUGUGUGCAUAUGUGUGUGUAUAUGUGUGUGUGUGUGUGUGUGAUCACUUGAUUAGCUCUUUCUUCCUUGUUCUGUUGGGUUUUUUUGUUUGUUUGCUUUUUUUGUUUUUUUGUUUGUUUGUUUGUUUGUUUGUUUGUUUGUAUAUGAAGCUAAAUACUUGAUCUGAACCUUGGUGUCUCUCCAUAAUGCAUAUGUUGAAAUCCUAACCCCUGGGACAAUGGUUUUGGGAGGUGAGUAGGUCAUGUGGGCAGAGCCCUUACAAAUGAGAACUGAGAGACUGCUCACCCCUAUCUUGUGCAGUCACAGUGAGACGAUACCAUCUUUGAGCCAGAAAAUGUGCCCUCAUCAGAUGUCAAUCCUGCCAGUAUCUUGGUCUUUUACUUCCCAACACAUGGAACAGGAAUAAAUAAUUUUUCUACUUACUAUAAGUUACCCAGUUUAUGGUCAUUUGUUACAGCAACCUAAAUGGACUAAGAAGACACCAUCUAGGAUAAAUUAUUG
rnacentral:lncRNA from 1 species